ensembl:snoRNA SNORD57 small nucleolar RNA, C/D box 57
UGUGAAUGAUGACAAAUCUUUUCCUGACAUCACUGAGGGUAGAAACUGAUUUAAUGAGCCUGACGC